rnacentral:ncRNA from 1 species
UUGUCGGGGUGCCUUAAUUAAGAGGCUGAGAUCACGAAUGUGGAUCCCGUUGAACCUGAUCUGGUUAAUACCAGCGUAGGAAACAAG